CAUCGUAUCCAGGUGAGAGUACAGAUUGAGCUCAUGACGAACGACCAGGGACGCAGGACCACAGCACGUACGAUCGCAGCAACCGCAGCAAAUGGGUUAAGGUCAGUGCAGUUUGUCGGGGAGGGUGGCGGUGUGCUGGAGGUGAUUGCCGCCUCGAUCGAUGUGACAACGGUCGUCAACAGAAUACGAAGUAUUGCCGGGCUGCGGGAUGCCAGGUUGAUCAGCGUUGUGGAGCGAGACUGAAAAAUUCUCAAUGAUAUUUGAGCACGCAUGUUGCUCGUGUGGUUUUGGUGUGCUUUCUUGUAGCUUUCGUUCAUGGGAGUCAAUACCGAUGAUAUGUCGUGUGUUGCUUUGUAUCUUUAUCUUAUACCAACAUUUACAGGAGAAUAACUAUGUGCAAAGUUUCUU